GCCGACGUGGUGGAACUGGCAGACACAGCGGAUUCGCACUCCGCCGGCCCAUGCGCUCACACCGCAUGCCGUGAGGGUUCGAGCCCCUCCGUCGGCACCA
rnacentral:tRNA from 1 species